rnacentral:rRNA from 1 species
UACGAAGGGGGCUAGCGUUGUUCGGAAUUACUGGGCGUAAAGCGUAUGCAGGCGGAUCGUUAAGUCGGGGGUGAAAUCCCGAGGCUCAACCUCGGAACUGCCUUCGAUACUGGCGACCUUCGAGUCCGGGAGAGGUGAGUGGAACUGCGAGUGUAGAGGUGAAAUUCGUAGAUAUUCGCAAGAACACCAGUGGCGAAGGCGGCUCACUGGCCCGGUACUGACGCUGAGGUGCGAAAGCGUGGGGAGCAAACAGG